rnacentral:rRNA from 1 species
UACGUAGGGUGCAAGCGUUGUCCGGAAUUAUUGGGCGUAAAGAGCUCGUAGGCGGUUUGUCGCGUCUGCUGUGAAAACUCGGGGCUUAACUCCGGGCCUGCAGUGGGUACGGGCAGACUAGAGUGCGGUAGGGGAGACUGGAAUUCCUGGUGUAGCGGUGAAAUGCGUAGAGAUCCGGAGGAACACCAGUGGCGAAAGCGGCUACCUGGCCCAUUCUUGACGCUGAGGCGCGAAAGCUAGGGGAGCAAACGGG